GACAGCCAGGAUGUUGGCUUAGAAGCAGCCAUCAUUUAAAGAAAGCGUAAUAGCUCACUGGUCGAGUCGGCCUGCGCGGAAGAUGUAACGGGGCUAAACCAUGCACCGAAGCUGCGGCAGCGACGCUUAUGCGUUGUUGGGUAGGGGAGCGUUCUGUAAGCCUGCGAAGGUGGCCUGUGAGGGGCCUGCGCGGAGGAAGUAACGGGGCAAAACCAUGCGCCGAAGGUGGUGGCGGGUGUAUU
rnacentral:rRNA from 1 species